rnacentral:rRNA from 1 species
UUAUGAUUUGGGCUACACACGUGCUACAAUGGCGUAAACAAAGGGAAGCGAGAUUGUGAGAUGGAGCAAAUCCCAAAAAUAACGUCCCAGUUCGGACUGUAGUCUGCAACCCGACUACACGAAGCUGGAAUCGCUAGUAAUCGCGGAUCAGAAUGCCGCGGUGAAUACGUUCCCGGGUCUUGUACACACCGCCCGUCACACCAUGGGAGUCAGUAACGCCCGAAGUCAGUGACCUAACUGCAAAGAAGGAGCUGCCGAAGGCGGGACCGAUGACUGGGGUGAAGUCGUAACAAGGUAGCCGUAUCGGAAGGUGCGGCUGGAUCACCUCCUUUCUAAGGAA